UGGCUCCAGCAUAUUCUUUAACAUGAACUUGCCUAACAUACACAGGAAGAAAAGACAAGAAGGUGGAGAAGUCGAGGGUACUAUAGAGCCAGACCUGAUCCUGUACAGGCUGAUUUGGGGGGAUUGCAGAGGCAAAGCUAGGCUAGGUCUUGGAGGCUGGUGUAAGGCGGUGCGUGAAGGCAGGACGCUGAUGGGAGAGACUGGUCGAAGAAAAGCCGAAAUGGAUUCUCCGUGCCUUGGAUGGAGGAAGAGGGGCGAAGCGCGAGCUUCUUCAACUCGUUCUGUCCGGUGAGGAGUGAUCCAGCUUGGGCUGACGAGGGGCUCCGGAGCCUUCACGUUCAGUGCUUUUUACCUGCCAAUCAAACUGCUACAAGACAACACCCUGAUCUGGCAUGGUCGCAUCGAACCUAGAAAUUGUACUCUCCUCAAGAUCCGCUUGAGAGAAUCUGACUGAUGGCUUUGGUCUGAGAGUUCAGACAUCUCUUGUGAUACUAAGAAAGAUUCCUUUUCCAUUUGCUGGAUCCUCCUGUUUUGUCAUCCCUGAGUCCUGUAAGAAGCUCAUCAGGAGGUCCCCUGCGCUGGAAGGACCAUGUGAGUUCAUCCCAGACGAUGGGUGGCACCAUGGUUUUAGCAGCUCACACAAUGGAGAACCACAUUCUCUCUGGAAGAGCUUGGCAACAUGUAUUUGGUAAACACAGCAAGGUCAGCUUGAGCUCUAUUCUUCUG
rnacentral:lncRNA from 1 species